AGUAAUUAUAUCAGAUUACUUUUGAGUGUUAUUGAGCUAAUAACGUCUCCAAUAAAAUAUCAUUUAUUUUCAUUUCACAUUUUAUUCCAAUAAGACGUAUUAUAGUAUUAUAAUUUUUUAAUAAAAUAUGAUUGUUUCAAAACAUCAUCUUCGACUUUUAGUCGGAGUAUUAGUCAUUUAUUGCUGUAUUGAAUCCAAUGUUGGAUCAAUUCGUGGCGUGUUGCAUGAGAUCCAAUCGAGCAAACGCCUCUAGCACGCGGACAAACGAGGAAAAAUUAUAGUGGCUCCUCGUUGACUAAAUCCAAAACUAAUCAAAAUAAAUAUAUUUGAAAACAGACUACUGAGGCUUCAACGUCAUCUGAUAUUCCGUCUGAUACCACCCGGGUCGAUACAACAAUGUCCGAUACAACUAUCUCGCCAACUGAUGAAACAGUUACACCGAAAAGCCAUCGUCAUAGAACAAUUAUUUGGACUAGAAAAACGUCUGGAACGACAGAAGAACCAUCGUCGACGAUAACGGAAGAGGGAAAAACAGAUAGACUAUAUUAUUAACUAUAACUGCCGCUAAACAUCGCUAAACUUGUAGACGAAACAUUACUAUAGAUUUGUAUAAAAUAAACAAUUGUGUUCACUCGAGAAUAAAAUAAAAAUAUAAUA